rnacentral:rRNA from 1 species
GAACGCUGGCGGCAGGCCUAACACAUGCAAGUCGAGCGGUAACAUUUCUAGCUUGCUAGAAGGUGACGAGCGGCGGACGGUGAGUAACGCGUAGAAAUCUACCUAGUAGUGGGGGAUAGCCCAGAGAAAUUUGGAUUAAUACCGCAUACGCCCUACGGGGGAAAGCGGGGGAUCUUCGGACCUCGUGCUAUUAGAUGAGUCUGCGUCGGAUUAGCUUGUUGGUGAGGUAAUGGCUCACCAAGGCGACGAUCCGUAGCUGGUCUGAGAGGAUGACCAGCCACACUGGAACUGAGACACGGUCCAGACUCCUACGGGAGGCAGCAGUGGGGAAUAUUGCACAAUGGGCGCAAGCCUGAUGCAGCCAUGCCGCGUGUGUGAAGAAGGCCUUAGGGUUGUAAAGCACUUUCAGCAGUGAGGAAAGGGGUGUCGUUAAUAGCGCCAUCCUGUGACGUUAACUGCAGAAGAAGGACCGGCUAACUCCGUG